rnacentral:rRNA from 1 species
AGAGUUUGAUCCUGGCUCAGAACGAACGCUGGCGGCGUGCUUAACACAUGCAAGUCGAACGCGAAAGCCUGGGCAACUGGGCAAGUAGAGUGGCGCACGGGUGAGUAACACGUGGGUAACCUACCUUCGAGUGGGGAAUAACUCCUCGAAAGGGGAGCUAAUACCGCAUAAGACCACGGCCACUUCGGGGGUCGCGAUCAAAGGUGGCCUCAUUAAGCAGAGUGUUUGGGACGAUCUUCCCGAGUGGAGGAUAGCCCUUAGCGCUUUGUAGAGUGAAGCUGCUGCUCGAAGAGGGGCCCGCGUCCCAUCAGCUAGUUGGUAGGGUAACGGCCUACCAAGGCGACGACGGGUAGCUGGUCUGAGAGGACGACCAGCCACACGGGAAUUGAGAUACGGUCCCGACUCCUACGGGAGGCAGCAGUGGGGAAUCUUGGGCAAUGGGGGAAACCCUGACCCAGCGACGCCGCGUGGGGGAUGAAGGCUUUCGGGUCGUAAACCCCUGUUAGGUGGGACGAACGUCCUCCAGCAAAUAGCUGGGGGAUUGACGGUACCACCAGAGAAGCCCCGU